rnacentral:rRNA from 1 species
UCAAAGGAAUUGACGGGGCCCGCACAAGCGGAGGAACAUGUGGUUUAAUUCGAUGAUACGCGAGGAACCUUACCUGGGCUUAAAUGGGGAGUGACAGCUGUCGAAAGAUGGUUUUCUUCGGACACUCUUCAAGGUGCUGCAUGGUUGUCGUCAGCUCGUGCCGUGAGGUGUCGGGUUAAGUCCCAUAACGAGCGCAACCCUUACCGUUAGUUACCAUCAGGUUAAGCUGGGGACUCUAGCGGGACUGCCACCGUAAGGUGAGAGGAAGGUGGGGAUGACGUCAAAUCAGCACGGCCCUUAUGUCCAGGGCUACACACGUGUUACAAUGGCCAGUACAAAGGGCAGCUACCGGGUGACCGGAUGCUAAUCUCUAAAGCUGGUCUCAGUUCGGAUCGAAGUCUGCAACCCGACUUCGUGAAGCUGGAUUCGCUAGUAAUCGCGCAUCAGCCAUGGCGCGGUGAAUACGUUCCCGGGCCUU